GAUGAACGCUGGCGGCGUGCCUAAUACAUGCAAGUCGAGCGAACAGACGAGGAGCUUGCUCCUCUGACGUUAGCGGCGGACGGGUGAGUAACACGUGGAUAACCUACCUAUAAGACUGGGAUAACUUCGGGAAACCGGAGCUAAUACCGGAUAAUAUAUUGAACCGAAUGGUUCAAUAGUGAAAGACGGUUUUGCUGUCACUUAUAGAUGGAUCCGCGCCGCAUUAGCUAAUUGGUAAGGUAACGGCUUACCAAGGCAACGAUGCGUAGCCGACGUGCGCGGACGUCUGCCCCAACUGGAUCAGGGACACUGUCCAGACUCCUACGGGAUGCUGCAGUAGGGAAUUCUCGUUAAUGGUCGAAUGCCUGACGGAGCAACUCUGCGUGAGUGACGAAGGUCUUUGGAUCGUAAAACUCUGUUAUUAGGGAGUAACGAAUGUGUAAGGAACUAUUCACGUCUUGACUGUACCUAGUCAGAAAGCCACGGCUAACUACGGC
rnacentral:rRNA from 1 species